CAGUAAGUCUCCCGAAGUUGUAUGAAAAUAUGCAGGUAAACUGUUAACUGAUACCAGACUGGUUAAAUUAUACAGCUCGCUGAAGGCUGAGGCAGCCGUCCUAUUUUACAUGGAAGUGAUACCUGCAGCAAACAGGGGCUCUUACCCUAAGGUGACUGUCAGCUUUAAAUGCUAGGGAAAAUAAUGCAACUAUAAAAGAUGGUUUAUCACAAGUAGCUGACCCUGAGAUCUCUGGAUUGGGUGAGUUCUUUUAAAAAGAAAGUAAAAACUCAUCUUUUUAAACUUUUGGCUAACAUUUUGUUUUGAUGUUUUAGCAUUUUUAUUGUGAAGCAUUUUGUAAUAUUUAUUCUGAAAGCUCUAUAUGUAUUUACCUUUACUUUAAUCAAUGUUUCUUUAAUUAUAUUAAGAGAAAACAAAUGUUUUAUAAUUCUCAAUCAUGGUUACUUCGGGAAGCUGUGAACAUGUGGGCUAUACCAUGAUGCAUAGGUAAUUUCACUCUCUAUUAAAAUAAAGUAAAAAAAGAAGAAGAAGUAAAUAACAAAGUUUUUUAAAUCAGUCAUUCAGCAAGGUGAAUUCAGAACUUAGAAAUGUGUAACAAUUAUUUUUAACAAGAUACAGCAAGCAUGGCAUGGUAACAACAACUGUGUGUCAUCAGAAUAGAUGUACUGAUAAUCCAAGUUUAAUUCAACUUUGCAGUAUAUGAGUCUCCUAUCCUUACCUGUGACACUGCCUUAUGUGAUUUUCCACCUCAAUUCAAGUUAUUUGAGUGUUUCAUAAAACUACAACAACAAAAACAACAACAAGGCAGUCUGUUUAUUUGUAAAUGUUAUCUUAAUUAAUAAUAAAACAAAGCACACUAAAAGUGAGGGCUUGACAUUAAUUGACAUUGUUAUGGUUAUGUAAUUAAAAAAAAAAAAAACCUUAAUCUUUAGAUGCCACAGUCACAGUUGAAACAGUCGCCCAUAGUUUUUGUAUAAGCAGUAUUCACAGUCAUACUGAAAACAUUCUCCUCCUCUAAUUUAUGGUAAAUUAGAUAGCUGUGGCAACUGUAGCUGCAUUAACCAAACAGGAAACAAAGCAAACUGUGUAUCAGACAACAACGUGGUUGACGGAAAAAACCACACAUGAAAUUAUCACAAAAUCUAAGCGUCAACCCCCCACUGUUCUUGUUUGUUUCUUCUUUGUUGGACUAAGUAUUACCAAAUACACUGAUAUGUUAAAGCAUUUAGUCUGGUCUAAAGUUUUGUUUUAACUUAGGUGUAGAUAAUAUUGUUUUAUCCUUGCAUACCUGUUUCAAUCUGCAAAAAGAAGUUUUGUUUUUCAGAUUUGACUGCAUCUCCCUCUUUAUCACCACAUGAAUAUUCUUACAGUCUAUGUACCUCUGUGAACGCAGAGGCUUCAACAUCCUGACCUCAGCUAGUCCUGCUGUUUCUGCAUCACAAACACACACAUUUAUUCUUCAUUAUUUAUUAACAUUUAAUAUUUUGACAAACAGCAGAAUCUUUUUGGUAUUAUCUGCAAAUAUUUCUUCGACUUUUGGUAGGCAGAUAAGCCUUAAAACUGUCUCAUUGCUUUUCUUAGAAGAAACACUUGUGACAGGUUUCUUUUUUACAGGAUUAUAUUAAAAGAACUUUCUGUUAAAUUUUAAUGGAUGGGGUUACACUUUAUUAAAACUUUAUGUUUAUGGUAAAAAAUAUCUAUAUAUAUCUAUCUGUCUGUAAGUCAGUCAGUCAGUCAGUCAGUCAGUAAGUUCCCCUCUCUCCCCUGUGGGGUUUUUGCAGGAUAUAUCAAGCUAACACUUUCUGACUGGAGGAUAUAUUUCUAACAUUUCCUCCACACAAUAAUCUGGCUUAUCGCCUCUUAAAAAAUGUAAAACUAAGAGAUGAAAGAUAUCUUCACAACAAAUCACUGUUCAUGUUUGUAUGUUUGCAUGACUUUACAUUACAUCCAAAUGCAGUCUACUGAAAAAGACUAGAAGUUAACAACGAUUUGACUUUGUUGUGGCAAACAAUGUCCAGAACUAAAAAACAAAACAAAAAAGAACUGGAGAAAAAAGAGAGGAACACAGUAUGAGGCAACACGACAGGCAAAUUGAGGCUAUAAAGUCACAUGACGUAAUGAGGGAAGUGGAAACAGGAGGGAAAAUAAACACAGCUGAACACAACAAAGGUGAACAACAGUCAGGAAAUAAAACCAGACACAAUGCAUGGGAGACCAAUAAAAAAAGGAACUAAACAAAAACAAUUAAGAUCAGUGAACUUAACACAGGAUAAAGAGAUCAAAUAAACUCUAAUGCAAGUAGAAGCUGGAAGUAAGAGUUAAAGACUAAAAAUACUAAAGAAAACACUUCAAUAUAAAGUAGUACGUUCACUCUGUUAAAAUAAAGGAUAAGCUCAAACAUGUUAAUGUCAUCCUGGGGAAGAAUAGGUUGUUUUUGGUUUUGUAUGACUUUUUCAAUCUUUGACAGUAGAGUCAUUUAUCUUUUAUAGUGUGCUUUUAAUUUUUAUAGCUAUGAGUAUUAUUGCAUGCUUUUAUUGUGAAGUUUGUUUUUAGUUUAUGUUCCCCAGGCCCCCCACCCUGACUAAUAAUUUUCCUGACCUGGGAGAGUUCAUGCCCUGGAAUGAACCCGCCAUUAACCAAUGAGGGUGAGCCUUUCAGCCACCAAAGACCAAUAAGAGGGUCUGGCGGUAGGGAUGAAAGGUCAGUCCUGGUAGCAGCCAUGAAAACAGCAGUAAUGGACAGAAAGAAUCAACCAUGAUGAUGAUGAUGAUGAUGCUGACGACGAUGACGACGACAAUGACGACGACGUGGACACGGAGGAGACACAGGCAGAUGUUAUUGAGGGAGGUGAAGCAGAGGGACACCUUUGAGUGGAGCGUCUGGACGUGCCGGGAGAUCGUUUUGGUUUCAGCUAGUGUUGCGCUAACGGCUGCUGACAAGUGGAGAACAGUGGCAGGCAGAGUUCUGAGCUCUGUACCAACCACCGACUAAAUCUCAAUUGUCGGGCCAAGUACCGACCCAGCCAGACAAUUUUUAUAUUUUGUUCCUGUAUAUUAAUUUUUAUGCCCCCUGGCCAAGGCUGUUUUUACUUGUUUUUAUUGUAAAUAAAUUCAUUUUUUUACCUUUCUUAAAAAGCGCCUCUAUUGCUUCUUGGUUAAACACUGCUCUCCACUCAGUCACAAGGGUCUUCCUUCUUAUUGGGACUUUUCCUUCUACGUGAAAUUGAAAUCAAGACAAAUACAAAGGAGUCGGUAACAUUUUGGUUUCACUUAAUAUUUUUAAAAAGACAUCUCUAUAAAUUUGGAGUUUACCCGGGGACAAAGUUUUUAGUACCGUUCUAGUUUCUGUUUUCAUUCUGCCUGUUGUGCUAAUUUUAUUCACCAAUAACAUUUGAAAAGGUUGUGGUUACAUUCAGGGAAACAGUAUGAAGUAUGAUAUUUGAAAAAACGCAAUCAAAAAACCCAACGCUAUUUUCUGACAACAUUUUGUGAAUUCAGUCAGCUUUGACUGAAUUUACUAUAUUUAACAAACGAUUUGCUUUAUUUAAAAAAGUAAAUCACUUUACCUUCAACAUUUGUAUCUUCAAGUCCAGUAAGUUUAAGAUACAAAUGUCUGAACCUUUCACAGAAAACUAUAACAAAAAAGGCAAUCUUUAAAUUAUAAA